rnacentral:rRNA from 1 species
CCUACGGGAGGCAGCAGUGGGGAAUAUUGCACAAUGGGGGAAACCCUGAUGCAGCGACGCCGCGUGAGUGAAGAAGUCUUUCGGUAUGUAAAGCUCUAUCAGCAGGGAAGAAAAUGACGGUACCUGACUCAGAAGCCCCGGCUAACUACGUGCCAGCAGCCGCGGUAAUACGUAGGGGGCAAGCGUUAUCCGGAUUUACUGGGUGGAAAGGGAACGUAGACGGCUGGGCAAGUCUGAAGUGAAAGGCAGGGGCUUAACCCAUGAACUGCUUGUGAAACUGCAAUGGUAGAGUGCUGGAGAGGUAGGUAGAAUUCCAAGUGUAGCGGUGAAAUGCGUAGAGAUUAGGAGGAAUACCAGUGGCGAAGGCGGCUUACUGGACAGUAACUGACGUUGAGGCUCGAAAGCGUGGGGAGCAAACAGGAUUAGAUACCCUGGUAGUC